AAGUGGCAGGCAGGCAGGCUGGCCCCGGGGACUUCUCUCUGGCCCUGCUCCCUCCGAGCGCUCCGCCGUUGCCCGCCUGGCCCCUACGGCGGGGGCGGGCAGAGGGCGGGGCUGCUGCCAGAUCUAGUCAGACAGGUGGAGCUGCCGGGGCAGGAGUCUCAAAGAGCCAGGCUCCAGGAGAGGAAGGGCUCUGCCAGAGGAGAGAGGAGAGCGCUGGAGAGGACAGGCUGGAGAGUCCUUAGCCAGGAUGGAGGCUGUUGUGAACUUGUACCAAGAGAUGAUGAAGCACGCAGAUCCCCGGAUCCAGGGCUACCCUCUGAUGGGGUCCCCUUUGCUAAUGACCUCCAUCCUCCUGACCUACGUGUACUUCGUUCUCUCACUUGGGCCUCGCAUCAUGGCUAAUCGGAAGCCCUUCCAGCUCCGUGGCUUCAUGAUUGUCUACAACUUCUCACUGGUGGCACUCUCCCUCUACAUUGUCUAUGAGUUCCUGAUGUCGGGCUGGCUGAGCACCUAUACCUGGCGCUGUGACCCUGUGGACUAUUCCAACAGCCCUGAGGCACUUAGGAUGGUUCGGGUGGCCUGGCUCUUCCUCUUCUCCAAGUUCAUUGAGCUGAUGGACACAGUGAUCUUUAUUCUCCGAAAGAAAGAUGGGCAGGUGACCUUCCUACAUGUCUUCCAUCACUCUGUGCUUCCCUGGAGCUGGUGGUGGGGGGUAAAGAUUGCCCC
rnacentral:sRNA from 1 species